GGCCUGCUAGCUCAGCCGGUUAGAGCGUCGUGCUAAUAACGCUAAGCUCGUAGGUUCGAUCCCUGCGCGGGCCA
rnacentral:tRNA from 1 species